GACGAACCGUGCGAACGUUAUUCGGAAUCACUGGGCUUAAAGCGCGUGUAGGCGGCCCGGCACGUCAUCGGCUGAAAUCCCCCGGCUCAACCGGGGAAGGGGCCGUGAUACGACCGGGUUGGAGGGGGGUAGGGGGGACGGGAACUCACGGUGGAGCGGUGAAAUGCGUUGAGAUCGUGAGGAACGCCCGCGGCGAAAGCGCGUCCCUGGACCCCACCUGACGCUGAGACGCGAAAGCCAGGGGAGCGAACGGG
rnacentral:rRNA from 1 species